UGUCUCUGAGACAGUUUCUGGGAAAUCAUGUGAUCUCAGAGCCUCCUCCCCUUUCUGAAGGUAUAUUAACUGUCUCUCUAUCUCUGCCUCCUCAGCAUCACAGACCAACAACACAGACAGUGUCCGUAGUCACCACGUCACCGAGCUUCAGGACCUCCAGAUAUAUUCCCUGAUCCUCUUCCUGGGUGGACCAGGACUUUAACAACACAGAACUCAUAAAGUGCUCCUGUGAAGCUGUUACCAUGGCAGAGUGAGUAACACCAACAUUUCUAAAACCGUUGAAUUGUGUUAUU